rnacentral:rRNA from 1 species
GCGAAGUAACGGAAUAGAGAAAGUGAAAUAGAGAGAACGGAGUCAGAGAGACGGAAGGUCAGUCAGCGAGACGGAGGAGAGCGACCGGAGGGAGAGACUAGGUCUCGAUACCAACACCCGAGCCACUAAACAACCAAAGAACCCCUAGAAAAGCUGGAGAUAGACGACACAAUCGAGGACGAUAGACUCCGAAUCUGGGUGACAAGCUGGGUAGAACGUAUACCCCUUUACUCUACAGGUACUUAUAGUUAGUUCAGUUCUUUGAGUCUUUCUAACAAUCCUACUUCUUUGAACGCUGCUUAUUGUCGUUCUAGAAACAAACGUGUUACUUCUUCUAUAGUCAGUUGAUAUCCUACAUGAAAAGUUUCGUCAAGUGGCUACUAAUGGAGAGUUUGGUGGACGUACCAGUUCUCCGCUCCUUCCAUAAGUAAGUUGUGGGUACCAUAUUAUAACUUCAGAAGGACUUCUCCUGCUUCCAACCCGCCCGUUAAUAGGUAUCGGUGACCGGAUUUCGACGUUCCUGUAAAUUGUAGUGGCUUCCGAGUUAUAAACGGAAGGCGAAGACGUCAAAGGGUCUACUCUAAGUAAACAGAUAAAUGGCACAUACUACGAUGAAAGGUUUCCAAAAGCUACAACGUACAAUUUGAACCACGACAACACAUUGCCGCAUUGACUCACGACUUCGAUAGACUACAUUCAGCUAAUACUUUAGGACCAACGGCAAUAUGCUUAUACUUUAUAGACCACACAAAAUAUUCUUUAUAGUUAAACUAAU